UACGUAGGGAGCAAGCGUUGUUCGGAUUUACUGGGCGUAAAGGGCGCGUAGGCGGCAUAUUAAGUCAUCUGUGAAAUCUCCGAACUUAACUCGGAACGGCCAACUGAUACUGCUGUGCUAGAGUGCAGAAGGGGCAAUCAGAAUUCUUGGUGUAGCGGUGAAAUGCGUAGAUAUCAAGAGGAAUACCUGAGGUGAAGACGGGUUGCUAGGCUGACACUGACGCUGAGGCGCGAAAGCCAGGGGAGCAAACGGG
rnacentral:rRNA from 1 species